UACAGAGGCCCCGAGCAUUAUCCGGAAUCACUGGGCGUAAAGGGUGUGUAGGCGGUUAUGUUAGUCUUUUGUGAAAGAUCCCGGGCUUAACCCGGGAGACGCAGGGGAAACGGCAUAACUUGGAGGGUAUGAGAGGUAAAGGGAACUCAUGGUGUAGGGGUGAAAUCCGUUGAUAUCAUGGGGAACACCAAAUGCGAAGGCACUUUACUGGCAUAUUCCUGACGCUGAAACACGAAAGCGUGGGAAUCGAAUGGG
rnacentral:rRNA from 1 species